rnacentral:tRNA from 1 species
GAGGGUAUGGCUUAGUGGUAGAAUGUGUGCUUAGCAUGCACCAGGUCCUGGGUUCAAUCCCCAGUACUGCCA